rnacentral:lncRNA from 1 species
CAUUAAGAUAAUAUGAUUAUUCAUAGUAGUUAGGAAGGAUAGAAGUGGUAGAUCUGAAAUAGGCAGCCCCUUGCUGCUGGCCAGAAUGUCAGGGGGCCUUCUUACCUGAUACAGAUAUAGAACAAGUAAGGGGAGCCGCAGACUGGGGGAAUAGGGCAGGAGAAGGAGAUGCCUAGGUAUAUCCAGUUACCUUUCCCUGGAUCCCAACCCAAAAGUGCUGCUGGGACCUAAACAAAGCUCAAGAGAAUUAAGCUGAUGUAUAGUAGACCACCGUUUUGCUUUCCACAAUUUUAUUUAUCACUAGUCAGUUGCAGUCAGAAAAUAUUAAAUGGGGAAUUCAAGAAAUAUGCAAUUUAUAAGCUUUAAUUUGCACACCAUUCUGAGUAAUGAAAUAAAACCUUGCAUUUUUCUGCCUGGGGUAUGAAUCUUCCCUUUGUUCAUAUGCUACCUGUUAGUUACUUAUAACUAUUACAUUUUAACAUUGCUUGUGUUCCAAAUAACCCUUAUUUAAUAAUGGUUCCAAAGUACCAGAGUAGUGACAUUGGCAGUUUUGUUAGACUAUUAUUAUAAUUGUUCUAUUUUAUUAUUAUUAUUAACCUCUUACCAUGACUGAUUAUAAGUUGAACUUUAUCAUGCAUAUAUAUACAUCUAGGAAAAAAACACGGUAUAUGUCAGGUUUAGUAUUAUCCAAGGCAUCAGAUAUCUUACUUGGGGGUCUUAAAAUAUAUGCCCCAACCAUAUAUGAACAGACAUAUAGGAAACUACUGUAUCAAUCCUUUUUCUAGGUUCUUUGCAGAAUGGGAGGAAAUUGUUUUGGUGCUCUAUAGGGAGAGAGAGAGGUAUGGCAUUAUAAAGGAAUAGUCAUAUACAUGAAUAAGAGAAAAUACAAAGCUGGUCUGAUUGUCAACUCAAAAUGAUUUUCCAGGGUUUAUUCUGGUUCAUGUUUUGUUCUAAGGUUCUUAGUUAAUGUAUGUUCUAGCGUAUGCU